AUGAAAAAGACGACACACCCGACGACGAGAGAGCAGACCAGCCGAGACUUGGAGACUUUUCCUCCUCCGAUGUCAUCGUCGCGCGUCGCCGUGAUCGGCGCGGGGGCAGCCGGCCUGGUGGCGGCGCGCGAGCUGCGGCGCGAGGGCCACGCGCCUGUCGUCUUCGAGCGCGCAGCCGGCGUGGGCGGCACCUGGCGCUACGACGACGCGGCCUCGGCGGACCCGCUCGGUGCCGGUGGCGUCCACGGGAGCCUCUACGCGUCCCUCCGCACCAACCUGCCCCGCGAGUGCAUGGGCUUCCUCGACUUCCCCUUCGUCGCCGAUGAGGGCUCCGUUGACCCGCGCAGGUUCCCCGGGCACCAGGAGGUGCUCGGGUACCUCGAGGCGUUCGCGCGGCGGUUCGAUCUCCUCAGGCUGGUCCGGCUCCAGACGGAGGUGGUCGGCGUCCGCCGCAGCUGUGACGAAGCAGGCGCCGCGGGCUGGAGUGUGUCGUAUUGCUCGAGGAAGCUCGCCGGCGCCGGAAGCGACCUAGAGGGGGAGCAGUCAGAGGUGUUCGACGCCGUCGUCGUCUGCAACGGCCACUUCGCCGAGCCUCGCCUGGCGGACAUUGCCGGCAUAGGCGGCUGGCCCGGGAAGCAGAUGCACAGCCACAGCUACCGUGUGCCCGACCCGUUCCACGGCCAAGUCGUGGUGAUCAUAGGAUACAACCCCAGCGGGAUGGACAUCUCGCGGGACAUUGCUGGCGUCGCCAAAGAGGUCCACGUCGCCAUUCGGUCAGCACCUGCUGAGAUGCAGAGUGCUACUGCCCAUGCCAACUUGUGGCUACAUCCCAUGAUUGAAUUUGCCGAGGAAGAUGGCAGCGUGGUGUUCCGGGAUGGCAGCCGGGUAAAGGCAGACGCAAUCGUACACUGCACUGGGUACAAGUAUAGGUUCCCGUUCCUGGAGGAGGAGGAUGGUAUAGUGAGCGUGGACGACGCUCGUGUGGGUCCGCUCUACAAGCACGUGUUCCCGCCACACCUGGCCCCUCACAUCUCCUUCAUCGGAUUGCCAUUCAAGUCGAUCCUUUUUCCAGUGUUCCGACUCCAGAGCAACUGGGUGGCGGGAGCACUGUCAGGAAGGAUUGAGCUCCCGUCGCCGGAGGAGAUGAUGCUGGAUGUCACGGCAUUUUACUCAAACAUGGAAGUCCGCGGAUGGCCCAAAAAAUUCACCCACAACCUGGGAGUGGAAGCAUGGACGGUCCGUGCAGUGUACCUAUGCUAUGUAUACACGUCGUCCAUACUGUUGAUGCUUAUAUAUAGUAAACUUAUAUACAUAAUUUGUUUUGGCGUGUUGCAGUUUGAGUAUGAGGACUGGCUCUCAGAGCAGUGCGGUCUGAAGAAGAUGGAGGAGUGGAGGAGGGUGAUAUACGCCGCGGGGAGAGCGAGGGUGUCGGUCCGGCCAGAGAGCUACCGCGACGAGUGGGACGACAACCAACUGCUGGCCCAAGCACACCUUGAUUUAUCUAAGUAUAUCUCUGAUGUCACCUCGUCGAUGGCUACUUAUGAUGUAGCUUCUGUCGACCUCUCGUCCCUUCGAGCACAUGCGAUAAAAGAGAUCAGAUGA
rnacentral:rRNA from 1 species